UUCACCAUUAAAUUUUUCGGUGGCAACUGGGGUGGCAAGAGCUAUUUUUAGGGUGGCAGUUGCCACCCCAUGCCACCCCAGUAGAUCCGCCCCUGUCCAUGU